UGUGAGGACCUGUAUUUUCAAAAAUAAUUAUAUAUAAUUAUGUGUUGUAUAUACUUAUUAAUUUCAGAAAGUUUUGUAUUACUUCUUAAUUAAUCUUUAAUUCCUUUAUUUCAUUUUUCUAUACUCUAAUUUACGAUUAUUUUGAACCAAAUAAGUUCAGUACACCAUUACGGUAUUCAUAUUAUUCAUUUUCUUUUCUUUUACAUUAUUUUAUUAAGCUGCAUGUUUUGUUCUAUUCUAAUUGGACCAAAAACCAUAGCCAAUUAAAGGGCUUUUAGUUCAUUCCUAUCUAAGAAUCUGCCGACUUUGUAAGACUAUAAGUAGAAACCCAGGGUUGUAGAGCGGUGCGGUCUGCGAGAGCGAGAGAGAAGUGAUAACUGGAUAAAAGAGGGAACGUUUACAGAUAAAGAUGUAGAGGCACAUAGGGAGAGAUUAAUUUGCUGGAAAAUACAAACUGUUAAGUUGUUUAUGAGGCUAUGGUAUUGAGAAGGCAACUCUUAGGGAAACAGAUGAAAAUGCAAGAGAGGGAGGUUUUGUAUAAUCAGUAAGCCACUGCUUGUUCUCGUAUGCUACUUUACUGAAGGAGUAUUUGAUGUCUGAAAUAGGACUUUAUCAAGGUGGUGGAUUCUUGUGUUAAUAUCUCAGAGCAAUGCUUUGGAAUCCAGGUUCACGAACUAAACAAUCUAAGAGGGUAGACGGGAUGAGAUCGGAUUAAGUGUGAGGAUAGAAUUAUGUAUUUCUUUAUUUUAGCCUUGUAAUGAAUUAUUGAGUUAUUUUAAAUAAGAGGAAUUUUAUUUUUCA